ACCUUAAUACAGAGAUGCUGUGAAUAUAAAUUUAUAUAAUGCAAAAGUAAGUUUAUUUCAUAUGCUAAUUUAGAGGCUUUCUUAAUAUGUUUAAUUAUAAAGAAAAAAAAAAGCGUUGCAAUUCUUGUUCACUGACCAAUGGCAAAGCAGACACUUUCUACUUCCGGUUGUGGCGGGAUAUUUGUGAAGUCAGCAAUGGCGGUCGAAAAGAAUGGUAAAGUCGCAAAGAAUACUGUUUGUUCGUGGAUUGGCAUUUGUGACUGAAUCCAUCGAUGUUACUAAUUAUUUGAAGAAAUCUGGGAGUCAGCACCCUGCUGAAUUGUAGUAAACGAGACGUCCAAUCUACUAGACCAUCAAAGAUGCAGAUUUGGAUUUUCUAUUUCAUAGUUAUUGAAAUCAUAAUGAGAAUGAAGUACUGCCACUAAGUCGUAUUGGAUAUGUUGCAAGGAGCUGUUUUCAAAACAUUGGGUGACAAAGAAUUCACUUUUACAAAAAUCGAGCA